rnacentral:rRNA from 1 species
AACGAACGCUGGCGGCAGGCCUAACACAUGCAAGUCGAGCGCGCCCUCCGGGGUGAGUGGCGGACGGGUGAGUAACGCGUGGGAACGUGCCCUUUUCUACGGAAUAGCCUUGGGAAACUGAGAGUAAUACCGUAUACGCCCCUUGGGGGCAAGAUAUAACGGAAAAGGAUCGGCCCGCGUUGUUUUAGCUAGUUGGUGGGGUAAUGGCCUACCAAGGCGACGAUACAUAGCUGGUUUGAGAGGAUGAUCAGCCACACUGGGACUGAGACACGGCCCAGACUCCUACGGGAGGCGGCAGUGGGGAAUCUUAGACAAUGGGGGCAACCCUGAUCUAGCCAUGCCGCGUGAGUGAUGAAGGCCUGAGGGUUGUAAAGCUCUUUCAGCUGGGAAGAUAAUGACGGUACCAGCAGAAGAAGCACCGGCUAACUCCGUG